GUGGGGAAUCUUCCACAAUGGGCGCAAGCCUGAUCCAGCAAUGCCGCGUGGGUGAAGAAGGUCUUCGGAUCGUAAAGCCCUUUCGACAGGGACGAUGAUGACGGUACCUGUAGAAGAAGUCCCGGCUAACUUCGUGCCAGCAGCCGCGGUAAUACGAAGGGGGCUAGCGUUACUCGGAAUUACUGGGCGUAAAGGGCGCGUAGGCGGCUCUGUUAGUCAGGCGUGAAAUUCCUGGGCUUAACCUGGGGACUGCGCUUGAUACUGCAGGGCUUGAGGCCGAGGGAGGGUGGUGGAAUUCCCAGUGUAGAGGUGAAAUGCGUAGAUAUUGGGAAGAACACCGGUGGCGAAGGCGACCACCUGGCUCGGUUCUGACGCUGAGGCGCGACAGCGUGGGGAGCAAACAGGAUUAGAAACCCGUGUAGUCC
rnacentral:rRNA from 1 species